rnacentral:rRNA from 1 species
CGGAGGGUGCAAGCGUUGUCCGGAUUUAUUGGGUUUAAAGGGUGCGUAGGCGGCUUUUUAAGUCAGUGGUGAAAGACAACAGCUCAACUGUUGCAGUGCCAUUGAUACUGAAGAGCUUGAGUACAGAUGAGGUAGGCGGAAUUUAUGGUGUAGCGGUGAAAUGCAUAGAUACCAUAAAGAACACCUAUUGCGAAGGCAGCUUACUAAGCUGUAACUGACGCUGAGGCACGAAAGUGUGGGGAUCAAACAGGAUUAGAUACCCUGGUAGUCCACACUGUAAACGAUGAUCACUCGAUGUGUGCGAUAGACAGUACGCGUCCAAGCGAAAGCGUUAAGUGAUCCACCUGGGGAGUACGCUCGCAAGAGUG